GAAGAGGGAAGAGUGGAUGUCAAGACCACUACAGGGAGAAACAUUCUCCUGGAGCCGGUGAUUUGCCUGGCAUCACCGCAUCUGUGGGACCACUUGUGGGACUUGCUGUUCUUUUUGACCUAAAAUACCACAAAAGCUUUUGCAGACAGCAAGAGGAAGAAAUGUGCUAGCAGCUGCCCCCUCUACAGAACCGUGCCAAUGGGUUCUCCAGGACCUAGGGAUAUUCCUGGAUAUCCCAGGCAAGAGGUGAGUGUGGUGAAAACAGAGAUAAACGUUUUGGACUAGUUGGCUUUGAAGAAUAUCAAAGCUGCUCUUCGUGUUGGUGUUUGAAACCCUGCAUGGUAUGACUGUUGCGAUCCUGGUGUGGAACAAACCAGCAAACACAAACAAGAAGGUUGCAAAGUGCACCAAACUUUGUCCACUCUCCUCAAGAUC